AAAAAUUCUACUUACAAGGAACGUUUUGCUAGCUUAGAGAAUUUGAUUUUAAUCAUGUUUGAUCAAGACGCAGUUUUGAUACCCAAGGAAACCUCCUGGUUUGGGUAUUAUCCAGAUGGAGCCUUUACUCCUGUUCUGCCUGCACAAGAAACUAAGCUCUACACUGAAGACUGGAUUGGGUUGAAAACACUAGAUGAAGCAGGAAAAGUUAAAUUCGUAAAUGUCUCCGGGAAUCACCUUGAUAUCUCUCAGAAUGAUAUGAAGAAGUAUAUAGUGCCCUAUUUGGAGGACCAAGCAUCAUACCAGCACAUAAAAACAGAACCUCCAUCUUAUAGAUGGGUUUCAUCAAUCAG
rnacentral:misc_RNA from 1 species